rnacentral:rRNA from 1 species
GGGCCCGCACAAGCGGCGGAGCAUGCGGAUUAAUUCGAUGCAACGCGAAGAACCUUACCUGGGUUUGACAUAUGCCGAAAAGCUGCAGAGAUGUAGCCCCCGCAAGGUCGGUAUACAGGUGGUGCAUGGCUGUCGUCAGCUCGUGUCGUGAGAUGUUGGGUUAAGUCCCGCAACGAGCGCAACCCUCGUCCUAUGUUGCCAGCGGGUAAUGCCGGGGACUCAUCGAAGAUUGCCGGGGUCAACUCGGAGGAAGGUGGGGAUGACGUCAAGUCAUCAUGCCCCUUAUGUCCAGGGCUUCACGCAUGCUACAAUGGCCGGUACAAAGGGCUGCGAUACCGUGAGGUGGAGCGAAUCCCAAAAAGCCGGUCUCAGUUCGGAUCGGGGUCUGCAACUCGACCCCGUGAAGUCGGAGUCGCUAGUAAUCGCAGA